UACGUAGGGUGCGAGCGUUGUCCGGAAUUAUUGGGCGUAAAGAGCUUGUAGGCGGUCUGUCGCGUCUGCUGUGAAAAUCCGGGGCUCAACCCCGGACCUGCAGUGGGUACGGGCAGACUAGAGUGUGGUAGGGGAGACUGGAAUUCCUGGUGUAGCGGUGAAAUGCGCAGAUAUCAGGAAGAACACCCGUGGCGAAGGCGGCUUUCUGGGACGGUACUGACGCUGAGACGCGAAAGCGUGGGGAGCGAACAGG
rnacentral:rRNA from 1 species